GAUGAAGAACGUAGCGAAAUGCGAUAAGUAAUGUGAAUUGCAGAAUUCAGUGAAUCAUCGAAUCUUUGAACGCACAUUGCGCCCCUUGGUAUUCCAUGGGGCAUGCCUGUUCGAGCGUCAUUUGUACCUUCAAGCUUUGCUUGGUGUUGGGUGUUUGUCCAUUCUCUUGCAGAGGGACUCGCCUUAAAGUAAUUGGCAGCCAGUGUUUUGGUUUUGAAGCGCAGCACAAGUCGCGAUUCAACGCUAUACGCCAGCUUCCACAAGCCUUUUUCACUUUUGACCUCGGAUCAGGUAGGGAUACCCGCUGAACUUAAGCAUAUCAAUAAGCGGAGGA
rnacentral:misc_RNA from 1 species